rnacentral:rRNA from 1 species
CCCUUAGAUGUUCUGGGCCGCACGCGCGCUACACUGACGAAUGCAACGAGCUUAUAACCUUGGCCGAAAGGUCUGGGUAAUCUCCAAAUUUCGUCGUGAUGGGGAUAGAUUAUUGCAAUUAUUAAUCUUCAACGAGGAAUGCCUAGUAAACGCAAGUCAUCAACUUGCAUUGAUUACGUCCCUGCCCUUUGUACACACCGCCCGUCGCACCUACCGAUUGAAUGGUCCGGUGAAGCCUCCGGAUUGGCGCGCACCUCGGUGCCGCCGAGAAGUUGGCUAAACCUUACCAUUUAGAGGAAGGUGAANUCGUANCA